AGAUGAUGAUGAUGAUGAUGAUGAUGAUGAUGAUGAUGAUCCUCCUCAUCAUCAUGCUGCUACU
rnacentral:miRNA from 1 species